UGAAUGGAAGUAACGCAUAAUGAGA
rnacentral:piRNA from 1 species